GAUGAACGCUAGCGGCAGGCCUAAUACAUGCAAGUCGGACGGGAUUUGGGAGCUUGCUCCUAAUGAGAGUGGCGCACGGGUGCGUAACACGUAUGUAACCUACCUUAGUCAGGGGGAUAGCCUCUCGAAAGAGAGAUUAAGACCGCAUAACAUUAUUAAGUGGCAUCAUUUAAUAAUCAAAUAUUUAUAGGACUAAGAUGGGCAUGCGGAACAUUAGCUAGUUGGUAGGGUAACGGCCUACCAAGGCUACGAUGUUUAGGGGAUCUGAGAGGAUGGCCCCCCACACUGGUACUGAGACACGGACCAGACUCCUACGGGAGGCAGCAGUAAGGAAUAUUGGUCAAUGGGCGGAAGCCUGAACCAGCCAUGCCGCGUGCAGGAAGACGGCCCUACGGGUUGUAAACUGCUUUUAUACGGGAAUAAACCUACUUACGUGUAAGUAGCUGAAUGUACUGUAAGAAUAAGGAUCGGCUAACUCCGUGCCAGCAGCCGCGGUAA
rnacentral:rRNA from 1 species